rnacentral:rRNA from 1 species
CUUUCGUAGUAGAAGAUGGUUACGCCUGCCCAGUGAUACACCAUUCAACGGCCGCGGUAUCCUAACCGUGCAAAGGUAGCACAAUCACUUGUUCUUUAAAUAAGGACUAGUAUGAACGGCACCAUGAGGAUCGCCUUGUCUCUCAUAGUAAGUCCAUGAAACUGAUCCCCCAGUACAAAAGCUGGGAUACCCCCACAAGACGAGAAGACCCUGUGGAGCUUUAAACUGCACACCACACACACUGGUACUAGCAGUUUUUAGUUGGGGCGACUUUGGAGCAAAGCAAAACCUCCAAAAUUUAACCUAAGCCCCAGACGGACACGUCUGGGCCAAUCAACCAUCGACCCAAUACAAUUGAUCAAUGAACCAAGUUACCCCAGGGAUAACAGCGCAAUCUUCUUCUAGAGUCCCUAUCGACAAGAAGGUUUACGUCCUCGAUGUUGGAUCCGGAUACCCCAAUAGUGCAGCCGCUAUUAACGGUUCGUUUGUUCAACGAUUAAUAAUCCCACGUGACGGGAAAAGAGACGGACUUUCUCUUACAUAAACCUACGUGAUCGCUUGCGAAACGAGAAAUGACUUUUCUAACUUGAACUGGGGCCCGACCCGCCCAAUAUCCUUGAGGACUUGAUGCACAGACUCUCCCCUCUAUAUAUUUUCCUUUUCUAUUGCACCCCUCACACUCUUAUAUGAGAGAAAAGAAAAACAAAAAUAUAUUUGGCUGUGUGUGGAGGGCGCGUUUUAUAUUUUU